GUCCAGAGGGUGCAAACCAACAUGAGUACACAGAGUUGAAAAUCGACUUGCUAGUCCUUUAAACCAGCUCAUCAGGCUCCUUCUGUCCCUGGGAUUUCACAGGCAAGAAUGUUGCCAUUUCCUUCUCCAGAGCAGCUUCCUGACCCAGGGAUCAAACCUGCAUCUCCAGCCCCCGCAGGUGGGUUCCUUACCACUACCACGACAGAUGAUGAGAUGGUUGAAUGGCAUCACUAACUCGAUGGACAUGAGUUUGAGUAGGCUCCAGGAGUUGGUGAUGGACAGGGAAGCCUGGUGUGCUGCAGUCUAUGGAAAGAGUCUCUCUAUGCAAAGAGUCAGAUAGGGCUGAGUGACUGAACUGAACUGAACUCUACAGUUCUUUUAGACACUUUAACAGAGGACAUGCAAAGAGAAAAAAAGUUGUGACUGUUGUAUGGAAUGCUUUAAAUGAAAUCAGAAGUUGAUUUAAAAUCUGAAUUAGCAAAAGCAAUAUUGACAUUGAUGGCAAAGCAAAAAUCAGAACAAGGAGAAAAGAUAUUUUCUUCCUAAAAAAAAGAAAACCAGCUGAUAUGGAACAGCAUAUACUCUAAUGUCCAAUUUGAAGAUGCUUUUAGAACCAGUCUUAAGAAUUUAAUC
ensembl:lncRNA